GACGAACGCUGGCGGCAGGCCUAACACAUGCAAGUCGAACGAGUGGCGGACGGGUGAGUAAUGUCUGGGAAACUGCCCGAUGGAGGGGGAUAACUACUGGAAACGGUAGCUAAUACCGCAUACCAUCGGAUGUGCCCAGAUGGGCUUAGCUAGCAGGUGGGGUAACGGCUCACCGAGGCUAAGAUCCCUAGCUGGUCUGAGAGGAUGACAAGCCACACUGGAACUAAGACACGGACCAGCCUCCUACGGGGGGCAGCAGUGGGGAAUAUUGCACAAUGGGCGCAAGCCGGAUGCAGCCAUGCCACGUGUAUGAAGAAGGCCUUCGGGUUGUAAAGUACUUUCAGCGGGGAGGCGUUACUCGCAGAAGAAGCACCGGCUAACUCCGUGCCAGCAGCCGCGGUAAUUC
rnacentral:rRNA from 1 species